rnacentral:misc_RNA from 1 species
AACGCACAUUGCGCCCGCCGGUACUCCGGCGGGCAUGCCUGUCCGAGCGUCAUUGACAACCCUCAGGCCCUGGUGCCUGGUGUUGGGGCACUACAGCAUGCUGUAGGCCCUGAAAUCCAGUGGCGGGACCGCUGUAAACCCGGGCGUAGUAACUUUACGUCGCCUAGGGUGUUUCGGCGGGCCCCAGCCGUUAAACCCACCAUAUUAUCAUAUUUGGCCUCGGAUCAGGUAGGAUUACCCGCUGAACUUAA